ACACAUUCAAAGAGUGCGUAAUAGCUCACUGGUCGAGUGAUGCUGCGCCGAAGAUUUAACGGGGCUAAGCAUAUAACCGAAGCUUAGGCAGUCAAUGACUGGGUAGGGGAGCGUUCUCAUCGGGGUGAAGUCUGACCGGAAGGACAGGUGGACCGAUGAGAAGUGAGAAUGCCGGAAUGAGUAGCGAGAAUUGCGUGAGAAUCGUAAUGGCCGAAAAUCUAAGGUUUCCAGGGGUAGGUUCGUCCGCCCUAGGUAAGUCGGGAGCUAAGGCGAGGCCGAAAGGCGUAGUCGAUGCACAUACGGUAGAGAUUCCGUAGCCGCUGAAGAUUUAAGUAUGCUGACACAAAUGCAAAAGCUGACCCGGGCGUUGGUAGCCCCGGGCGAAAGGGACUGAAAAAUAGUAGGGAAGCAGCCGGAGCAGGUGGCGAGAAAAGGCAUACGGUACAUCUGGAGCGCCCGUACCGCAAACCGACACAGGUAGAUGAGGAGAGAAUCCUAAGGCCAACGGGAGAAGGGUUGUUAAGGAACUCGGCAUAUUGACCCCGUAACUUCGGAAGAAGGGGUGCCUGCGAGAGCAGGCCGCAGUGAAAAGGCCCAGGCGACUGUUUAUCAAAAACACAGGUCUCUGCAAAACCGAAAGGUGAAGUAUAGGGGCUGACGCCUGCCCGGUGCUGGAAGGUCAAGGGGACUGCUUAGCGCAAGCGAAGGCGGGAACUUAAGCCCCAGUAAACGGCGGCCGUAACUAUAACGGUCCUAAGGUAGCGAAAUUCCUUGUCAGGUAAGUUCUGACCCGCACGAAUGGCGUAACGAUCUGGGCACUGUCUCAACAGCCCGCCCGGCGAAAUUGUAGUACCGGUGAAGAUGCCGGUUACCCGCGACUAGACGGAAAGACCCCAUGGAGCUUUACUGUAGCCUGAUACUGGAAUUCGGUUUAUUAUGUACAGGAUAGGUGGGAGACUUGGAAACAGUGGCGUCAGCCAUUGCGGAGUCGUCCUUGGGAUACCACUCUUGAUGAAUCGGAUUUCUAACCUGCUCCCGUGAAUCCGGGAGGGGGACAAUGUUAGGUGGGCAGUUUGACUGGGGCGGUCGCCUCCAAAAGAGUAACGGAGGCGUUCAAAGGUCAGCUCAGCGCGGACGGAAAUCGCGCAUAGAGUGUAAACGCAUAAGCUGGCCUAACUGCGAGACCUACAAGUCGAGCAGUAACGAAAGUUGGAGUUAGUGAUCAGGUGGUAUGUGAGUGGAAAUGCCAUCGCUUAACGGAUAAAAGCUACCCUGGGGAUAACAGGCUGA
rnacentral:rRNA from 1 species